AAUUCGGAACAGUUGCUGACGUAAUGGAACGUGAAAUGAAAGUCACGUGACCUCCUCUGUUUGAUCAGAGCUCGGAAUAACGUUUCGAAAAAGAAGUUCCACUGAAGUUUCGAAACAUUCCGGAACACGAGCUCGAUCUUGCCAUUACUGUAAUGGUUAUUAAAGUAUUCUACAGAUCUUCUCUCCAUCUUGCCAUCUUGUCCUGCAUCUGGGUCAUCCUGAUGCACCGUGACAAAAAAUUGGGGUGAGGACGGGGGAAUUUGGAGAAGGCAGAAUCACUGCCUUUUGCAGUUGUGGGUGUGCUAUGCAUGCAGACCUCUGGAUGGCGCUGUUGGCACCCCUGUGGACGGUAGAGUAACGGUAGAGCACAGCUUCAGAAUUACAGGAAAUUGUUACUCAUGCUUUUGUGUUUUCCACUCUAAAUUAUUAUUGAUUGGAAAGAUUUUACUAAAACAUUUUGACACUCAACGAUACAGAUUCUAAAAACGGAAUUUCUGAUUGGAAAAUAUUACGUUAAACAAAUAAAUUUAGUGUCAGACCUAUAGUGAGAAAGCUAUGAACCCGCCAUAAAUGCUCUUCAGAAUCAGGACCAGAAUCUUUUAUUAUCAUUCUGCAGUGCACAAUGAAAUUCUUUCCAGCAACUCUCGUCCAACAAUAUAAAAAGGUAGAAUAAAAUAAAAUAAGAAUAAGGGGCGAUAUAAGGCAUAAAUACUGUAAAGUAGAGUGGGGUGAAUAUUGCACAUGAGUGGGUAUUCCACAUUAGAAUGGAUAUUGCACAUACAGCAUGAAUAUUGCAUACUCUUCACUCAUUUUUGAAAUUUCAAUAGUGUUUUAUCUUGAACUUGGUACCUACUUACCUGUCUCUGCAUGAUCUGGCCCGUGUUGAAUUGAUGCACUGUGCUUAGAUGUCUGGCCAGAGUGAAAAUUGACUUCAUGACUAAUACAGAUCAUUUCUUCCAAAAUAUGAUCCAUAUCUGUGCUUGUUGGAUUAGUGGACGUUGACUACUUAGACCAGAACUCACAGGUUGAAGUUGCUUCACUGUCCUGUAGUCUCAUCAGUUCUUUGUUGGGCAGCUGCUUCUCUCUCUGUCCCCUGUUGUCCCCAACUCUCUCUCUCUCUCUGGUGGCUCUGAGUCCGAGUGAAGCUGCGAAGACGGAUUCAGCUCAGAACCUCUGAUUACAAGAAAAUCGUUUUAAUACAAUACAGAGGGAACCACAUUUUUUCUUGUAUCUCUGACAGAAAUGUAUUAAUAUCGAUACCAAAAUCAGAAAAGGAAAAAAAGGGCAGGUGCUCAAUAUGAGUGCACGUGUCUGGUUCUACUGGUUCCAAGAACCAAAUGCAAGUUUUGGUGAUGAGCGUGUGUUUGCUGUGCUGGCUUCUAAACAUUGACUGUAAAUACCAACUGGACAUGUCGACCCCUCCCCCAUCGUGUUCCAAAUAGGAAGUACCUGCUGGCUUUAAGAAGCUAAAAUCAAUGGCUCAGAUCGACUAAAUCACGGUCACGGUUGUGAAAAAAUGGCAACUUAAUUGGCUUCAUUUGUCUGGAAUCGGUACCGUCGAUCUACGGUCUAUGCUUCUAAACUUUGAACUUCCACUAAAGAAGCCUUAAUCCGCUAUACACUCGACAAUUACUCUCACGCACACUCACACAUGCACACCUGAGGACACUAAGAGUAACCAAUUAACCUAUAAAACGUGUUUUUGGACUGUGGAAGGAUGAGAAAACAAGUAUUUUUUUCAAUGGAAUUAUUGAAAUGAAAACACUUCCUUGUGAUUCUAAUUUUUGGAAAAGGUCUGGAUAUGCCUCAGACUUCAAGGGAAACGAUAGCUUCAGGUGUCCCCCUGGUGGCCUGAAGAGGUAAAACCAGUGGGAUAAAACCUGAUGCACUAAUUGUUGUAAAUCUCCCAAUUUUUUUUUUCAAAUAGCUCAUUUUUAAAAAUCUUAUGUUUUGAACACUUUUUUACAGAAAAUUUUGCAUUGAUUAAUCUAACCCCUAUACUCUGAAAAAUUUAGUACACAUUUUUUUAAAACACUCAUUGCUCUAUAUACUUGCCCACAAACAGUGCAACAUACAGUGGUGGACAAACUUGUUGGUACCCCUCAGUUAAAAAAAGAAAGUCCAAAAAUCUCAAUGAAAUGACUUUAAGCGCUCAAAAUUAACAAGUUAAAAUUUAUUGAAAAUCAAAUAAUCAAAAUCAGCCAUUACUUUUGAGUUGUUGAUUAACAGAAUUAUUUUAAAAAAACUAAUGAAAUAGGGCUGGACAAAAACGAUGGUACCCAUAACUUAUUAUUUUGUUACACAACCUUUUGAGCCAAUCACUGCAAUGAAACGGUUUCUGUAUUUGUCAAUGAGCCUUCUGCACCUGUCCACAGGUAUCUUGGCCCACUCCUCAUGAGCAAACUGUUCCAGUUGUCUCAGGUUUGACGGGUGUCUUCUCCAAAUGGCAUGUUUCAGCUCCUUGCACAGAUGUUCAAUGGGAA
rnacentral:lncRNA from 1 species